rfam:Angiostrongylus costaricensis strain Costa Rica genome assembly, scaffold: ACOC_scaffold0002483
GCCUCGAUAACUAAAUUGGGAGAUCGUUAGACUGAAGAUUUAAAGUCACCAGUUCUAUCCUGGUUCUGGGUA